rnacentral:rRNA from 1 species
UGGGGAAUCUUGGACAAUGGGCGCAAGCCUGAUCCAGCCAUGCCGCGUGGAUUAUGAAGGCCCUACGGGUUGGUAAAAUACCUUUCGUUGGGGACGGAUAAUGACGGUACCCAAACGAAGAAGCUCCGGCUAACUUCGUGCCAGCAGCCGCGGUAAUACGAAGGGGGCGUAGCGUUGUUCGGAUUUACUGGGCGUAAAGCGCGUGUAGGCGGGUCGUUAAGUUGGGGUGAAAUCCCGAGGCUCAACCUCGGAACUGCCUUCAAAACUGGCGACCUGGACUCAAGCAGAGGCAAGUGGAAUUGCGAGUGUAGAGGUGAAAUUCGUAGAUAUUCGCAGGAACACCAGUGGCGAAGGCGACUUGCUGGGCUUGUAGUGACGCUGAGACGCGAAAGCGUGGGGAGC